rnacentral:rRNA from 1 species
UUGAACGCUGGCGGCAGGCCUAACCCAUGCAAGUCGAGCGGUUGAGGGAAGCUUGCUUCCUGAUUCAGCGGCGGACGGGUGAGUAAUGCCUAGGAAUCUGCCUGGUAGUGGGGGACAACGUUUCGAAAGGAACGCUAAUACCGCAUACGUCCUACGGGAGAAAGCAGGGGACCUUCGGGCCUUGCGCUAUCAGAUGAGCCUAGGUCGGAUUAGCUAGUUGGUGAGGUAAUGGCUCACCAAGGCGACGAUCCGUAACUGGUCUGAGAGGAUGAUCAGUCACACUGGAACUGAGACACGGUCCAGACUCCUACGGGAGGCAGCAGUGGGGAAUAUUGGACAAUGGGCGAAAGCCUGAUCCAGCCAUGCCGCGUGUGUGAAGAAGGUCUUCGGAUUGUAAAGCACUUUAAGUUGGGAGGAAGGGCAGUCAGCGAAUACCUUGCUGUCUUGACGUUACCGACAGAAUAAGCACCGGCUAACUCUGUG